GAGGAAUAUUGGUCAAUGGACGAGAGUCUGAACCAGCCAAGUAGCGUGAAGGAUGACUGCCCUAUGGGUUGUAAACUUCUUUUAUACGGGAAUAAAGUUAGCCACGUGUGGCUUUUUGUAUGUACCGUAUGAAUAAGGAUCGGCUAACUCCGUGCCAGCAGCCGCGGUAAUACGGAGGAUCCGAGCGUUAUCCGGAUUUAUUGGGUUUAAAGGGAGCGUAGGCGGGUUGUUAAGUCAGUUGUGAAAGUUUGCGGCUCAACCGUAAAAUUGCAGUUGAUACUGGCGACCUUGAGUGCAACAGAGGUAGGCGGAAUUCGUGGUGUAGCGGUGAAAUGCUUAGAUAUCACGAAGAACUCCGAUUGCGAAGGCAGCUUACUGGAUUGUAACUGACGCUGAUGCUCGAAAGUGUGGGUAUCAAACAGGAUUAGAUACCCUGGUAGUCCACACAGUAAACGAUGAAUACUCGCUGUUGGCGAUAUACGGUCAGCGGCCAAGCGAAAGCAUUAAGUAUUCCACCUGGGGAGUACGCCGGCAACGGUGAAACUCAAAGGAAUUGACGGGGGCCCGCACAAGCGGAGGAACAUGUGGUUUAAUUCGAUGAUACGCGAGGAACCUUACCCGGGCUUAAAUUGCAACUGACUGAACCGGAAACGGUUCUUUCUUCGGACAGUUGUGAAGGUGCUGCAUGGUUGUCGUCAGCUCGUGCCGUGAGGUGUCGGCUUAAGUGCCAUAACGAGCGCAACCCUUAUCGAUAGUUACUAGCAGGUCAUGCUGAGGACUCUAUUGAGACUGCCGUCGUAAGAUGUGAGGAAGGUGGGGAUGACGUCAAAUCAGCACGGCCCUUACGUCCGGGGCUACACACGUGUUACAAUGGGGGGUACAGAAGGCAGCUACACGGCGACGUGGUGCUAAUCCCGAAAGCCUCUCUCAGUUCGGAUUGGAGUCUGCAACCCGACUCCAUGAAGCUGGAUUCGCUAGUAAUCGCGCAUCAGCCACGGCGCGGUGAAUACGUUCCCG
rnacentral:rRNA from 1 species